rnacentral:rRNA from 1 species
AUUGAACGCUGGCGGCAGGCCUAACACAUGCAAGUCGAGCGAGCGGCGGACGGGUGAGUAAUGUAUGGGAAUCUGCCUGCUGGAGGGGGAUAACUACUGGAAACGGUAGCUAAUACCGCAUACCAUCAGAUGAACCCAUAUGGGAUUAGCUUGUAGGUGGGGUAACGGCUCACCUAGGCGACGAUCCCUAGCUGGUCUGAGAGGAUGAUGAGUCACACUGAGACUGAGACACGGCCCGGACUCCUACGGGAGGCAGCAGUGGAUAAUAUUGCACAAUGGGCGCAAGCCUGAUGGAGCCAUGCCGCGUGUAUAGAGAGGGCAUUCUUGUUGUAAAGUACUUUCAGUCAGGAGGCGUUGCUGGCAGAAGCAACACCGGCUAACUCCGUGCCAGCAGCCGCGGUAAUAC